rnacentral:lncRNA from 1 species
AAAAAUCGGUGUCAUAUGGUAUUUUGAACCCCCUAAAAAGUGAACCCGGGGUCAAAAUACCAUGCGGUAAAAUGACCCCGGGGUCAUUAUACCGCAUGGUAUUUUGACCCCGGGGUCAUUUUUCACAUAUGGUAUUUUGAACCCCCCUGCGGUAUAUUGAACCCCCCUGUUUUUGAUAAAUAGUAUUGCAGAUAAUCUAAUUUACAAUUUAUUGGCUAUCAUUUUUUUUAAUUUGUGGUUUUAAGUAGGGGGUUCAAUAUACCGCAGGGGGGUCAAAAUACCAUGGCUAAGUAAAAUUUUCAAAAUAUCUUUUCCAGCAUAUUUAAUACAUACAAACUACUUAUUGGAGUAUUAUAACUAUGUUAAGGAGUUAGAAUAGCUUGAAUUUUUGAAAUUCAAGGUCUAUAGUAGGGGGUUCAAUAUAGCAGGGGGUUCAAUAUACCGCAGGGGGGUCAAAAUACCAUGGCUAAGUAAAAUUUUCAAAAUAUCUUUUCCAGUAUAUUAAAUACAUACAAACUACUUAUUGGAGUAUUAUAUAACUAUGUUAAGGAUUUAGAAUAGCUUGAAUUUUUGAAAUUCAAGGUCUAUAGUAGGGGGUUCAAUAUACCGCAGGGGGGUCAAAAUACCAUGGCUAAGUAAAAUUUUCAAAAUAUCUUUUCCAGUAUAUUAAAUACAUACAAACUACUUAUUGGAGUAUUAAUAACUAUGUUAAGGAGUUAGAAUAGCUUGAAUUUUUGAAAUUCAAGGUCUAUAGUAGGGGGUUCAAUAUACCGCAGGGGGGUCAAAAUACCAUGGCUAAGUAAAAUUUUCAAAAUAUCUUUUCCAGUAUAUUAAAUACAUACAAACUACUU